rnacentral:lncRNA from 1 species
UUUUUUGUUUUUUUGUUUUUUGCUUUUUUUUUAGGGCCACUGGUGUGGCAUAUGGAAGUUCCCAGGCUAGGGGUCGAAUCAGAGCUACAGCUGCUGGCCUAUGCCACAGCCCCAGCGAGACCAGAUCUCAACCAUGUCUGCCACCUACACCACAGCUCAGGGCAAUGCCUGAUCCUUAACUCACUGAGCAAGGCCAGGGCUAGAACUCACAUCAUCAUAGAUGCUAGUUAGUGUUGUUUCCACUGAGCCACAAUGGGAACUCCUGCCUUCAUCUUUUGUCUCUUCCCUGCUCUACAUUUCUCUACUACAAAUUCAGUGCAAGCAUGUUACACAUACAUUAGAAAAUCUUGGCUGAGCCCAAGGGUGAGAGCCAAUUCAUUUUCCCAAAGAAAAGAAGGAAUUGUGGUUCUACUUCCUGGAAGAAAACAGUAUUGAAAUACUUUGGAUUCUUUCUCUACCUUAUCUUUUCCUCAACCCCACAGAAAAGGGGUUGUUAAAAUUUUUGAGUUUCACGUCCAUUAGGGCCAAUUCCCUGAGGCUGGGCACCUGUAUUAGAAGAAAAAGCAGAUUCAUCUCUCUUCCCAUACCUCUGCUCUUUUUGGUCAACCUAAAUUCAGGCAAAAUCGGCUUAUUUUUUCAGUGUGUGUUUAUAGUCUCUGCCUUAUUUAACUCAAGAAGAAUAGCGAUUGUCUGAGAAGGGAGGCAGGGGAGUGGAGAGGGAGAGGUUACAAAAAAGCAAAAGUAAACUUUUUAGAGUAAUAGAUAUAUCCAUUAUCCUAGUUGUAUUGAUGGCUUAUGGAUGUAUACAUGUGUCAAAGUUUGAGUAAAAUUACUCAGAAUUUGAUAAAUUUUAAAAAUUAUAGAAGGACUUCCCUGGUGGCUCAGUGAAUUAAAGUUCUGGCAUUGUUACUGCUUUAGCUUGGAUCACUGCUUUGGUGCAGGUUUGCUCCCUGGCCCAGCAACUCUGCGUGCUACAGAUGCAGCCAGAAAUAAAGUUAUAGGAGUUGUUCUUUUUUUUAAUUUGAAGCUUGUCAUUCUAAGAAGUAGCUUUAAUAUUGUACGUGAAUCUUUAUCUGUUUUAUAGGUAUUGGAGUAUUUAUUAUGUUAAAUAAUGUAAUAGAACUCAAAACAUAACUAUCCUGUUGGGAACGUAUGAUAAACUCCUCUAGUAUUAGGUAGGGAGAUUUUCCUUUAAGGCAAUAAAAUUUAUCUGGUCAGCCCUUGGAGAGAGGAAAUCAUGGGACAGAAAUGAAAACUUGGAAGAUGAGUUUUAGAGUGGAGCUGAAUAAGAAUACUUCCUUUUCACUGAGUUAGGAUGAGAGGCAAAGGAGUCUGUAGAAUCAGGAGUGUGUUUAUUGGGGAUGACUGGAUUAUGCUACGGAGAUGUGAGCUAUGAGCUAAGAGUUGGGGGGGGGGGGCCUUAUGAUAAUGCAGGAACAUUCCCUGGGGGAAACCAAAGAGAUUGGCAUGUAAUUCUGAAACUGACAGUAUUGACGGCCUGAACCUAGCCAGAACACAGAUUGGGACUUGAACCCACAUGCCAGGACAUGAACCCGGCCUAAACCCAGAUUGGGACUUGAACCCACGGUUUUAAAUUAGAAUCACUCACCCUGUGUCUGAUCUCACUGACGGUUUAGGUUCUUCAUGUCUCCACACAGAAGGAAUUCAAACUGCAGUGUGUGAUGGAAAGUGACAGCAAGGUCACACCACUGACAGAACAGAGCACUAUAUGGAAGAAAGAGGCAGGUAAAGACUCUGGUGAUGGCAUGGAUUGUGAGCACAGAUAGGUUAUCACCAUUGGGACUCCUUAAGAGUUUGUGAGUGGGAGGAAACAACCUCAAAAUGGGGCCUAGAAGCUACUAUCUAGCAUGCAGGCUGAGGCCAUCAAGCAGUGUAUUAGUUUCCUGUUGCUGAUAUAAAUUUAUAAUUAUUAUUAUUAUAAAUUUAAUGGCAUAAAACAAUACAACCUGUUUAAUCUUUCAGUUCUAGAGGUCAGAAUUCUGAAAUAAGUCUGAAGUGCUGCACUGUUUCUGAAGUCUUAAGAGGAGAACUCAUUCCUUGCCUUUUCCAGCUUCUAGAAGUUGGCUGCAUCCCUUUGCUAGUGACUCCCUUUCAGCAAUGGCUCUAUUGCAGCUUCUGCUUCCACCGUCACAUCUCCUAUUACUCCCUAAUUCCUUUUUCUUUUCCUUAUAAGGAUCCUUGUGGUUACAUUGGGUUCACUGGAUAAUCCAGGAUGGUCUCCCCAUCUCAACUUUUGCCAUGUAAGGUAAGAUAUUACCUUCUAGGGAUUGGGUGUGGACAUCUUUUUGAAAUAGGAUAUAUUUUUGGAAAAGGAUUUCUUCUUACCCAUACUGUAACUUGUAACCAACAUAAGAAAUUUUAUUUUUUAAAGGAAACAGAGUAUAUGUUAUUCCUAUAAAAUGCUUUUCAUUAUUAAUCAUUUAGAUUUUGACAGAUUAAGAAUGACUUGGAAAUGAUACACACUAAUUUUAUGGAAUUUUGACAAUAAUUGGGUAUCAAUUUGGAAAUUUGUGACAUGCAUACUACACUUUUCUUCUUUUCAUUACAACUAAUCUCUCUCUCAAGUAUUCAGCCUUCUGAAGUCAAGAUUUUACAUGUGAAAGACUUAUUUGCAAUGAAUAAAUAGCAGGCACUCAAUAAAUGAGUUCUGAAGAUUGAAUACGUUUGUUUAUUUAAAUAACUUCAAUGUUUCUUGCAUUUGUUUCAUGGAUUUGAUGGUACAGUUCAAGUGCACAUUACUACAAUUUCAGCCCUGAUUUAGUCCAAGUCCCUUAAUUUUCAGGUCAGAAGAUGAAGGCUUAAAUGUGUCCAAGUUCAAAUAUAGACAGAAGAAGAGGCAGAAGUAGAGUUUGACUCUAGAGUUCCUAAUUAUUUAUUUUUAAAACUGGUUGGGCUCAUAAACUAGCUUCUCUACACAGAGAUAAAAGAAAGUGGCUGACAACUCCAGAUAAGGAGGUAGCAGUUUUAAUCAGCAAGGAAACUAACAUAUAAAGCUUGUCCCGAACAGCUGAUACAAAAUGAGUAGAUCUCCAUACCUUCCUGCCAGAGUCUUAGAAAUUUACAAAGAAACCUUAACCGGGUUUGAUUAUAUAUUCAGUCCAGUUGAGUAUCUCAACAAUAUCUUACUCUCUAAAGGCUGCAUCCUUUAAAUGGCUCCCACUGUGGGAACAGUGAGUGGAACAUAACGAUUCCAAGGACAGGCAGGAGCCUUGAUGGCACAGCCUUUAGGUCAACCAUCAGUCACAUCCUCUCAAUUACCUCCUCUAAGGACCUUCCAUUCCCCAUCAUUCUUUCAGCUGUCACCAAAUCACACAUUGCAGCAUCUGAAACAUGGAAAACAUAUCAUCCAAAUUUAUACAACUUUGUGGAAGAUGCUUUUCCUAGAUUUUCUGCUUUUGGGACAAAACACUUUCAGUUCCACCAAUUGUGUGUGUGUAUAUGUGUGUGCAUUUGAUUUUGCGGUUUUACAAUAAACACUUACUUUCUAGUGGAUUUUUAUUUCAACAAGAAUCCUCCCUUUUUCUCCUUAAGCCAGCUGCAGUAGCUGUUUCAAGUAGCAAUUAUAGAUCAAUACAGAGGAUUUUAGUUCCAUAAUGAUUCUCAGUUUUAAAGAAAGGAUUUAAUUAGUACAACAGUGUGCUACCACCUCAGCUUGUAUAAUUUUGGAGUUAGCAUUAGGUUUUAAAAUAAUUGGCAAAAUUUUUUUUCACAUUGCCUCCCUAAUGAUAAGCGUAAAAUUAUAAGUAUUAGCUUUUUAUACUGCUCUUGAAAAACAUAUUCUGGUUUACUACUCAACACUUUCUACAUGCUGGACUAUAGAGUCAUAUAUCCCAUUUAUUUAUUAGGAAAACCUACAAAUAACUAAUGUGGCAGACAGACCUAUACAAAAUAUUUAGAGGCCCAGGAUAAUAGUAUGUCUCAUGGAUCUUUCCUCUCCAAGCCCAUGGUGCUCUCUCCUUUUCUUCCCACUCUUGGCACUGUCUCAAUUUGCCAGGGGCCUGAUUGUGGAGUCUUUCAUGCGUAUAUGAAAUGCCUCAUGCUCAAGUGCCUCAAGGCUGUGUUUCUAACAGACACACUUAAAUCCUUGGUCACACUCUUGGACUUAGGUGUGGGACUCCAAGAAUCCUUCAAGGAGAUAGAACUCAAAGCCUCUAGCCAAAAGAACAAUUAGUAGACCCUUAAUCAUAGCCCCACUUAUUUCAUUGUAAUGCCCCAGCUAUCUCAUUGUAGUGACCCACCACCACCUAGAGCAACCUGGCCUACUCCUUUCUACCUGCUACUAAGAAAGGUAUGUGAUUCACUCCUCACCCUGCCCCUAUGGAGAUAGGGGCCUUAUAUGCCCCCAACCAACCAGAAAGUGUUUUGUAAGCCCUCUCCUCUCUCUCUAGGCUAUAAAAACAGAUAGGACCCCAAGCUUGGGGUCAGCUCUCCCUGAUCAUCAGAAAGUUGUUCUGCUGCCCCAGAGCAUCGCUUAUCUUAAUAAACUUAUCUCUCUUUUCACCUCACUAUGAGUCCGGAAAAUUAUUUUUCCUACACGCAUCCACAUUCCGUGACACUAAGUACGCACUCACCAGACUUGCAGUCUACCCAUGGGGAAAUAGAGCUGUCCCCUCCCUCCACCCAACGUAUUAAACAUUCAAUGUUUGUGUGAGAUAAUAUUGAAUAGAUUCAUAGGUUUAGAGAUGUUGAAGAGUGAGGAAGCUGCAACUGGAAGGCUCUAAAAGAAUCCCAUUUCCAAAUCCACAAAGGAUGGGACCUUACUGUAGGCACCUCCACACCUAGCUUACUCUCCAGCAAUUAAGAAUUUCAGAUCUUUCCAACUUCAACAAGAAUUUUUCUCCCUGAUACUGCUGUGUGGAUUAUUAAUUGUAAAAAAGCAGGAGUUGAGUUACAGUGGUAAGAAACCCACAAAGUUCUGGAUCUACUUUCGGUUGUUAAACAGAGCAGUAGAGAAAACUCAUUAAAUCAAAAAGAACUUCCUGCCAAACAGACAGGUGAAGUAAGUAUGAGUAGCCCUACUCUAUGACAGAGUUAACAACAGUUGAGAUCAAAGGGGGU